rnacentral:lncRNA from 1 species
GCCCUUUCCCGCUUCCUGGGCUGUCGGUAGCCGCGCUUUCUUUCUGCGCGUAGAUCGUUAAGUUCUUUAGACUCGGAAAAAUAUUGAGACCGAUGUGGACACUGAGCCGAGUUUUUCUGUUGUUCUCAGUCCUUCAGCUUUUAGAAGAGUAAAUCCGAAAUGUCUGGGAUGCUUUGAGAAGCGUCCUCCUACAAGGAGUGUCUGUCGGGGUUUAGAAAUGCUGGUAACAGAGCAGCCGCCUCUAUGUCCUCCUAUCUAUACCCAGACCAAUGGGGAAGGUCCUGAGGGUGACUUUCUUCUCUUUUCUAGCUCCCAGACAUUAAGGGACAGCAGAUAUAAUUAAUGCAAUGCUAAAUGAGAGUCAGCAAAUGUUAUUGUAGGAGUUGGUAGGAGUGUGGUAUUCAUACCAAGUGUGCCAAUCCCUAUAAAAGGGCUGAACAGGAGACUUAUUUAAAGAGAUUAAAUGAUGCAGAAUAAAGCUUCCACAAGCUGUAAUUGAAAGUGACAGAAACAUUAGCUUUGAAACAAGUAACAUUUAAUCACACAGAUCAUACAGAAACAUAAUUUUUGUAUGUUGUUUUCUUCAAUGGAAUUUAAUUUUAAUCUGUUGAGACAGCUCAUCACUUUCAGCUGCCUACUGCCAGAGGCCUGUCAGGGAAGGUCACAUCAAUAGGUCAGCAUGGCCAGAGUUUCAGAAAACAAAGAUAUUUCGUAAGAAGAGGAAUUAAUUCCAGCUCACAGUGAGAACAUUACAAGAGAAGCAAGUUCAUUGUGAAGGGCAAUCAGAUAGAUCCUGACCUCCUGAAUUUGGAAGAAGCCAGAAUGUCAUUGGUAAGUCCCAAGCCUUUAGAGCAUUGCAAC